UGGGAUUGGGUACCAGGCGGCAGUUAUCAGGACCAGGAGGCACAUAAUCUGGGAUGCCAUCAUUGUCAUCAUCCCCAUCACACUCAUCUCCAAGUCCAUCGUUAUCAGAGUCCAGCUGGGAGCUAUUUGGCAGCUGUGGGCAGUUGUCCUUGGUGUCCUGAUGCCCAUCCCCAUCGCUAAUCAGAAGAACAGGUUGGUGAAAGUCCUGAACUUUGUCUCCCCACCCAGAGGACAACUGGCCAGGAAAUCUGCCUGUUUCUUGUCUCACCCUCUAGUCCACACUCUGCCUAACGCUACGCCCUACCUCACAUUCCUAUUGACAUCUGCUGCAGGUAAUCUCUCCUCACCCAGGCCAACGUCCACAAGCCUGCCUCCCUACUUCACAGAGACUUCCUAGCUUCCCUGCUUCAUCCCCACCUGAUCCAAAUUCUCACAGGUCCCCCAGCCACCCCUUCAGCCCCAGGCCUGCACCAUCCCCAUCCACGUCGUUGUCACAGGCAUCUCCUUCCCCAUUGCCAUCUGUGUCCUUCUGGUCAUUGUUGGGAACGUUGGGGCAAUUGUCACAGGCAUCACCAAAUGAAUCUGUAUCUGA
rnacentral:antisense_RNA from 1 species